AUUGAACGCUGGCGGCAUGCUUUACACAUGCAAGUCGAACGGUAACAGGCCGCAAGGUGCUGACGAGUGGCGCACGGGUGAGUAAUGCAUCGGAACGUGCCCAGUCGUGGGGGAUAACUACUCGAAAGAGUAGCUAAUACCGCAUACGAUCUAUGGAUGAAAGCGGGGGACCGUAAGGCCUCGCGCGAUUGGAGCGGCCGAUGUCAGAUUAGGUAGUUGGUGGGGUAAAGGCUCACCAAGCCAACGAUCUGUAGCUGGUCUGAGAGGACGACCAGCCACACUGGGACUGAACCACGGCCCAGACUCCUACGGGAGGCAGCAGUGGGGAAUUUUGGACAAUGGGCGCAAGCCUGAUCCAGCAAUGCCGCGUGCAGGAAGAAGGCCUUCGGGUUGUAAACUGCUUUUGUACGGAACGAAACGGCUCUGGUUAAUACCCGGGGCUAAUGACGGUACCGUAAGAAUAAGCACCGGCUAACUACGUG
rnacentral:rRNA from 1 species